rnacentral:rRNA from 1 species
UCCUUAGAUGUUCUGGGCCGCACGCGUGCUACACUGAGUGGAUCAGCGGGUCAGGUUGCGCGAAAGCGUUUCCUAAUCUUUAAAUCCGCUCGUGAUGGGGAUUGACGGUUGCAAUUUUCUGUCAUGAACGAGGAAUACCUUGUAAGCGCGGGUCAUCAUCCCGCGCUGAAUACGUCCCUGCCCUUUGUACACACCGCCCGUCGCUCCUACCGAUUGAGUGGUCCGGUGAGGCUUUGGGAUCUGAGUGGAAAGAGCGUUUCGCUGUUUCUGCUCGGAAAACUCAGUCGAACCUUAUCAUUUAGAGGAAGGAGAAGUCGUAACA